rnacentral:rRNA from 1 species
GUGGAUUAGAUACCCUGGUAGUCCACGCCCUAAACGAUGUCAACUAGCUGUUGGGGCCUUCGGGCCUUGGUAGCGCAGCUAACGCGUGAAGUUGACCGCCUGGGGAGUACGGUCGCAAGAUUAAAACUCAAAGGAAUUGACGGGGACCCGCACAAGCGGUGGAUGAUGUGGAUUAAUUCGAUGCAACGCGAAAAACCUUACCUACCCUUGACAUGUCUGGAAUCCCGAAGAGAUUUGGGAGUGCUCGCAAGAGAACCGGAACACAGGUGCUGCACGGCCGUCGUCAACU